rnacentral:rRNA from 1 species
UACGUGGGGUGCAAGCGUUGUCCGGAAUUAUUGGGCGUAGAGAGCUCGUAGGCGGUUCGUCGCGUCGGCUGUGAAAACCCGGAGCUCAACUCCGGGCCUGCUUUCGAUACGGGCAGACUAGAGGUAUGCAGGGGAGAACGGAAUUCCUGGUGUAGCGGUGAAAUGCGCAGAUAUCAGGAGGAACACCGGUGGCGAAGGCGGUUCUCUGGGCAUUACCUGACGCUGAGGAGCGAAAGUGUGGGGAGCGAACAGG